GGCCUCGGCCGUGACUGGCGAACCGAGGUGGAUCACCACCGGGGAGCGGCCGCACCACCGUCGUCCGUGCACCGUCCGCCUGGGUGCCCGGG
rnacentral:ncRNA from 2 species